rnacentral:rRNA from 1 species
CCUACGGGAGGCUGCAGUGGGGGAUAUUGCACAAUGGGGGAAACCCUGAUGCAGCGACGCCGCGUGUGGGAAGACGGUCCUCUGGAUUGUAAACCACUGUCCCCAGGGACGAAGAUGACGGUACCUGGGGAGGAAGCUCCGGCUAACUACGUGCCAGCAGCCGCGGUAAUACGUAGGGAGCGAGCGUUGUCCGGAAUUACUGGGUGUAAGGGGAGCGUAGGCGGGACUGCAAGUUGGGUGUCAAAUCUACCGGCUCAACCGGUAGCCGCACUCAAAACUGCAGUUCUUGAGUGAAGUCGCGGCAGGCGGAAUUCCUAGUGUAGCGGUGAAAUGCGUAGAUAUUAGGAGGAACACCAGUGGCGAAGGCGGCCUGCUGGGCUUUUACUGACGCUGAGGCUCGAAAGUGUGGGGAGCAAACAGGAUUAGAUACCCCGGUAGUC